rnacentral:tRNA from 1 species
GGACCGUUAGCUCAGUUGGUUAGAGCUCCUGCCUCUUAAGCAGGGUGUCCAGGUUCAAAUCCCUGCCGGUCUACCA